CAGUAGCCACGGGAAUACGGAGGGGGCUAGCGUUGUUCGGAAUUACUGGGCGUAAAGCGCACGUAGGCGGCUUGGUAAGUUAGAGGUGAAAGCCUGGAGCUCAACUCCAGAAUUGCCUUUAAGACUGCCGAGCUAGCAGGUGAGAGAGGUAAGUGGAAUUCCGAGUGUAGAGGUGAAAUUCGUAGAUAUUCGGAAGAACACCAGUGGCGAAGGCGGCUUACUGGCUCAUACUGGACGCUGAGGUGCGAAAGCGUGGGGAGCAAACAGGAUUAGAGACCCCUGUAGUCCCUGUCUCUUAUAC
rnacentral:rRNA from 1 species